ensembl:lncRNA
UACAUAUUCAACACAGGAAAUUGAGGUUAGUCCUAUUUUGCCCUGCUCUUUGAAUUAUAACUGGAGAUGCAGGGUGGAAAGGUGGAGGAAGAAGAGAUAAAGUGUUUAUCAGGGAAGAGAUAGAGGGAAACAAGACAUUCCUACAUUUUCUUCAGAAAGUGACUGAGAAGCUGUGUCUAAAAAGUGUUUUGACAAUGUGGGGGGAAGGAAAAUGGGCAUCCUUCUAAAUGAGGCCCAUAGAAUCAUCAUCGUUUUUGAGGGGGAAGAGCUGAGGUAGAGCUGCACUGUAAUAUCUCUGAUAUAUAAAGAUGCUGGAAGCCAAAUUUCCCCACUAAACAACCUUACAUGAUUCAGUAACAAUCUGCUGCAGGAAUCACUGACAUGGAUGACUGUUCUUUGACUUUUAACCUCCAGGCCAGGACAGCCUUCAGGAACCACUUCUCUUAGAAGUUUGAGAUUGUGAUACAAAACCUUAUCUGAAGAAUGAAAAAUAAAGAACGAUGGAUUUUCCUAACUACAAAAGAAGAUAUAUAUGGAGCUGAACACAUACUGAUCACUCUCAUGAAAAUUAAAUAUAUCAAGUGAAAUGAUCAGAAAAC